rnacentral:tRNA from 1 species
GGGGAAGUGUCGGAACAGGCAGACGAGCCCCGUUUAGGGCGGGGUGGAGCAAUCCGUGGGGGUUCGAAUCCCCCCUUCCCCA